GACGAAGGAUGCAAGCGUUAUCCGGAUUCAUUGGGUUUAAAGGGUGCGUCGGUGGCCUUAUAAGUCAGUGGUGAAAUCUCUGGGCUUAACCCAGAAAUUGCCAUUGAUACUGUAGGGCUUGAGUAUAGAUGCCGUUGGCGGAAUAUGACAUGUAGUGGUGAAAUACAUAGAGAUGUCAUAGAACACCGAUUGCGAAGGCAGCUAACGAAACUAUAACUGACACUGAGGCUCGAAAGUGUGGGGAUCAAACAGG
rnacentral:rRNA from 1 species